AUCUAUUUUCAAACAUUCUCUAAUAACAUUUAAAUCUGUUCUUAUCAGUUUAAUCUCUGAUAAAUCCUUUAUUUAAGGACUUUGUAUUAAAUUGAUUUUUGUAACAGGGGGCUGGGCUUGGAGCUUGCUCCAUCCACCCCAUGCAUCGACCUGGUAUUGCAGUGUCCCCAGGUCCGGUGCAUCCCCU
rnacentral:snRNA from 1 species